rnacentral:rRNA from 1 species
AUUGAACGCUGGCGGCAGGCCUAACACAUGCAAGUCGAGCGAGCGGCGGACGGGUGAGUAAUGUAUGGGGACUGCCCGAUAGAGGGGGAUCACUAAUGGAAACGGUGGCUCAUACCGCAUACUAUCGGAUAACCUUUAUGGGAUUAGCUAGUAGGUGGGGUAAAGGCUCAACUAGGCGACGAUCUCUAGCUGUUCUGAGAGGAUGAUCAGCCACACUGGGACUGAGACACGGCCAAAACUCCUACGGAGGCAGCAGUGGGGAAUAUUGCACAAUGGGCGCAAGCCUGAUGCAGCCAUGCCGCGUGUAUGAAGAAGGCCUUAGGGUUGUAAAGGACUUUCAGCGGGGAUGCGUUACCAGCAGAAGAAGCACCGGCUAACUCCGUGCCAGCAGCCACGGUAGUUC